rnacentral:lncRNA from 1 species
GCGUUAGCUUCGGCUAAUCAGCUACAGACAAGCCUCUUGUUAUUGUUAGCUUUAGUUAGCUCUCUCUUUGUCUUCAGUUAGCGUAACUUUCAAUGGACUUUUAUUACUGCAGUGUAGUAUUACUGUGUCAUAGCAUCACUGUAUUGGUUUUCAAUAUCCUAUGAUCAUGUAGUUGUUAUAAUUAAAUUAUUGUUUUGUGUUAAAGUGAGGAACUCUCUCUUAGUGUUCUGAUAAACAUUAUGCUUCUCCUCCUUGUUCUUCUAUUGUUGUUCUUUUAGGACUAGUUACUGACAGACAUGGAUCCUGAAGCUGGUGGACUACACACCACCAAGGAAAUACACUGGAGAGCUUAUGGGGUGGAUUAUCUAUAUGACCAGACAGGCUACGCUUUGCUGGAGCCAGAGGAGUUUGAGGACGGCACUGUCCCCUUGCUGGAUGCUCCUCCACUCACUGGUACAUCUGCCACAGCACCUCCACUCACUGCAGGCUUUAUAAUUGUGAAUUAUAAGACAGCUACUGUAAUAUCUGGUCAUUAUUUUUCAAACUAG